rnacentral:rRNA from 1 species
GACGAACCGUGCGAACGUUAUUCGGAAUCACUGGGCUUAAAGCGCGUGUAGGCGGGACGGCACGUCGGUCGCUGAAAGCCCCCGGCUCAACCGGGGAACGGGCGCCGAUACGACCGUCCUGGAGGGACGUAGGGGGACCUGGAACAUCCGGUGGAGCGGUGAAAUGCGUAGAUAUCUGGAGGAACACCGGUGGCGAAGGCUGCAUCCUGGACCAAUACUGACGCUGAGGAGCGAAAGCCAGGGGAGCAAACGGG